UGGCACCUGGCUCAGUGGUAGAGUACUUGCCUUGCAUGCAUGAGGCCCUGGGUUCGAUUCCUCAGUACCAC
rnacentral:tRNA from 1 species